rnacentral:lncRNA from 1 species
AGUCUCUGAUUCAGUGUCUAUCCUCUCAACCUCCAUGAGAACCACCGGGGUUCCAAUUAUUAGGUGUAUUCUUGUUUGCUUCCCUGACCUGCAGGUCUGGGAGGGAGUUGUAAAACCCCAGACUAGUUUGAAGAAAGACCUUCCCUGCUUGCCUGCCGAUGAUGUCAGAACCCAAACAGGGGUGUCUGCAUCCUUGGAGAAAGGGUAUCCCAAAUCAUGGAGGUAACUCAGAAGACACUGUGUGGGACCAGCCGCUUAGGGUGCAGACAGAGACAGCUGACAAGCCCUUCAGACAAACCCUUUACCUGAGAGUCUCACAGUGAAGGCAACCCCUAACAAUCAUCAAUGGCUGAAUGGACAAGUAGGAAAGCUUACUCUGUCAUGAAAAGGAACAGAGCACCAACAUGCUCCGCAACAUAGAUCAGCUUCAAGAACAUGGAUGCAGGAAGCCAGAC